AUGGAGGAACUAUCCGCACGACGCCUGCUCUGUCCGGGCCCGUGGCUAGUCAUUGGAGACUUUAACCUCAUUUUGCAAGCAUCAGACAAGAACAAUGCAAACCUCGACAGCAGAAUAAUGAGCAAGUUUAGGAGAUUCGUUGACUCCAAUGGCCUCAAGGAGCUGUAUUUGUAUGGGUGCGCUUUCACCUGGAGCAAUGAGCGAGAGGUUCCCACGCUCACGAAGAUCGACAGAGCUUUUGUCUCGUUGGACUGGGAACUAGAUCAUCCUGACUGCAUGCUGCAGGCCCUGUCCAUAGCCACGUCUGACCACUGCCCACCUGCACCUCGCUUUGGACGCUCCCUUGCAGCUGCAUUGGCGGUUUCGUUUCGAACUACUCUAGACUAA
rnacentral:rRNA from 1 species